rnacentral:rRNA from 1 species
CUAUGCGCCUUGCCAGCCGCUCAGUCAGAGUUUGAUCCUGGCUCAGAUUGAACGCUGGCGGCAAGCCUAACACAUGCAAGUCGUGCGGCAGCGAAAGAGAGCUUGCUUUCUUGUCGGCGAGCGGCAAACGGGUGAGUAAUAUCUGGGGAUCUACCUAAAGAGGGGAUAACUACUAGAAAUGGUAGCUAAUACCGCAUAAUGUUGAAACCAAAAUGGGGAUCUAUUAUAAUAGACCUCAUGCUUUAUAUGAACCCCAGACGAGAUUAGCUUGUUGGUAGAGUAAUAGCCUACCAAGGCGACGAUCUCUAGCUGGUCUGAGAGGAUAACCAGCCACACUGGAACCGAGACACGGUCCAG